AGUGAACGCUGGCGGUAGGCCUAACACAUGCAAGUCGAACGGCAGCACAGUAAGAGCUUGCUCUUACGGGUGGCGAGUGGCGGACGGGUGAGGAAUACAUCGGAAUCUACUUUUUCGUGGGGGAUAACGUAGGGAAACUUACGCUAAUACCGCAUACGACCUACGGGUGAAAGCAGGGGAUCUUCGGACCUUGCGCGAUUGAAUGAGCCGAUGUCGGAUUAGCUAGUUGGCGGGGUAAAGGCCCACCAAGGCGACGAUCCGUAGUUGGACUGAGAGGAUGAUCAGCCACACUGGAACUGAGACACGGUCCAGACUCCUACGGGAGGCAGCAGUGGGGAAUAUUGGACAAUGGGCGCAAGCCUGAUCCAGCCAUACCGCGUGGGUGAAGAAGGCCUUCGGGUUGUAAAGCCCUUUUGUUGGGAAAGAAAAGCAGCAGGUUAAUACCCCGCUGUUCUGACGGUACCCAAAGAAUAAGCACCGGCUAACUUCGUG
rnacentral:rRNA from 1 species